UACGUAGGUGGCAAGCGUUGUCCGGAUUUACUGGGCGUAAAGAGCGCGCAGGCGGUCGUUCAAGUCGCGUGUGAAAGCCCCCGGCUCAACUGGGGAGGGUCACGCGAUACUGAUCGACUCGAAGGCAGGAGAGGGUAGUGGAAUUCCCGGUGUAGUGGUGAAAUGUGUAGAGAUCGGGAGGAACACCGGUGGCGAAGGCGGGUCUCUGGGCAACUCCUGACGCUGAGGCGCGAAAGCGUGGGGAGCAAACGGG
rnacentral:rRNA from 1 species